GACGAACGCUGGCGGCGUGCCUAAUACAUGCAAGUUGAGCGCUGAAGGUUGGUACUUGUACCAACUGGAUGAGCAGCGAACGGGUGAGUAACGCGUGGGGAAUCUGCCUUUGAGCGGGGGACAACAUUUGGAAACGAAUGCUAAUACCGCAUAAAAACUUUAAACACAAGUUUUAAGUUUGAAAGAUGCAAUUGCAUCACUCAAAGAUGAUCCCGCGUUGUAUUAGCUAGUUGGUGAGGUAAAGGCUCACCAAGGCGAUGAUACAUAGCCGACCUGAGAGGGUGAUCGGCCACAUUGGGACUGAGACACGGCCCAAACUCCUACGGGAGGCAGCAGUAGGGAAUCUUCGGCAAUGGACGAAAGUCUGACCGAGCAACGCCGCGCGAGUGAAGAAGGUUUUCGGAUCGUAAAACUCUGUUGGUAGAGAAGAACGUUGGUGAGAGUGGAAAGCUCAUCAAGUGACGGUAACUACCCAGAAAGGGACGGCUAACUACGUG
rnacentral:rRNA from 1 species